rnacentral:tRNA from 1 species
GCUUUCGUAGCUCAGUUGGUUAGAGCGUUGGGUCUAAUAAUAAACCCAAAGUCGUGGGUUCACCCCCACCGAGAGUA